UCCGUGUUAACCACGGCAGUCUCUUUAGAGUGCCCAACUUAAUGCUGGCAACUAAAGACAAGGGUUGCGCUCGUUGCGGGACUUAACCCAACAUGUCACCACACGAGCUGACGACAGCCAUGCAGCACCUGUCUUCCGGUUGUAUUGCUACAAAAAACGUAUCUCUACGUCGGUCCGGAGAUGUCAAACCCAGGUAAGGUUCUUCGCGUUGCUUCGAAUUAAACCACAUGAUCCACCGCUUGUGCGGGCCCCCGUCAAUUCCUUUGAGUUUUAGUCUUGCGACCGUACUUCCCAGGCGGGGUACUUAGUGCGUUAGCGCCGGAUCAGCAGGGGUCAAGACCCGCCAAUCCUAGUACCCAUCGUUUACAGCGUGGACUAC
rnacentral:misc_RNA from 1 species